rnacentral:rRNA from 1 species
UAGUCCCAGCUGUAAACGUUGUGAACUUGGUGUUGGCGGUAUUGAUCCCGCCAGUGCCGGAGCUAACGCAUUAAGUUCACCGCCUGGGGAGUACGGCCGCAAGGCUAAAACUCAAAGAAAUUGACGGGGGCCCGCACAAGCGGAGGAGCAUGUGGCUUAAUUCGAUGCAACGCGAAGAACCUUACCAGGGCUUGACAUCGCGACCCUUCGGGGGUGGGAGUGAAAGCUCCCUUUGCAAUGACAGGUGCUGCAUGGCUGUCGUCAGUUCGUGCCGUGAGGUGUUUGGUUAGUCCAGCAACGAACGCAACCCUUGUGGUUAGUUGCCACUCCCGAUUAACGUCGGGAAGCACUCUAGCCAGACUGCCUGUACAAGCAGGAGGAAGGUGGGGAUGACGUCAAGUCAGUAUGGCCCUUACGCCCUGGGCUGCACACGUGCUACAAUGGUCGGUCCAGAAGGAAGCAAUACCGCGAGGUGGAGCAAAUCCCCAAAGCCGGCCCCAGUUCGGAUUGGAGUCUGCAAC